AUAUAUUUUUAUUAGGUAAAAUUCAAAACCUAACUCAAAAUCUAAUUUUCAAGCUUCUGCUCCAAUACUCCUAACACACCCGCCGCCUCCCCCCGGUGACGCCGCGCCGGACGACGCUGCACGAGCAACCGGACGCCGGUGCCAGUGAGUCAGUGACCGCCCCUGCCCCCACCCACCCUGCAUCGCGUCGCCUCUGACGCCGCUCUUCUCGCAGCAGCAGAUCGAGCGGCGGAGCACCCUUCUCCUCUCCACCGAGCACGAGCAGACCACCCCUCUCCUCCGCCGACGCCGCUCUUCUCGCAGCAGCAGCAGCAGAUCGGGCUUUUUGCUUCUCCGUCUGCCACCUACCGCACCCGUCUCUCUCUCUCCGUCCGUUAGGCCUAGCAGCUGUCGCCGGUCGAGCUCUCAAUCGCAGACCCUAGGAGCCGCCGCUGUCGCCGCCGCCUUCUACAAUAGCCACCACCAAGGAACUCGCCACAAAGCUAAGAUCAAUCGUGUUACUAAAGCGGCAGCUUGAUGAAGUACCAGCACAGGCUGAACUAAUACAGUACGAACUCCGACUUUCUGAACUUAACACUCAAAUUCAGAUUUGUUUGUUUGUAGAAAAAGCUCCGACAAACACGGAAGCACUAUGAUACAUAUAAUGCUUUGUUGGAGAUUAAAGAUUUGAUGCUCAAAGAAACAUCCUUGUUGAAUUCAAUUAAUGUGCAGUUCCAAAAUGCUAUUACUAGCGCUGAUGGGAGGGUAAAACUCACAAACUCCUUGGAGGGAAUUUUGAAUGGGACUCAACAGGGUAUCCAUUUCGUACGUAUAUUUCUACCCAAACUGAAAUUAAUCUAACCAUAUAACUUUCAAUUAUCAUCUCCAAGAAGCUCUCUUGUGUUUCUGUUCCAUGAACUAUUAUUUUGGGAAAGUAUAUUCUAGAAAAAUACAGAUAAGUUUGGAUAAGUGAGAGGUGCAAAGUUUGACCAGUUAAGUUGAUAGCUUGAUUUGACAUUUUAUUUUGAGGAGACGUGUUUGGUUUACUUGCAAAGAAAUGUCAGAUUAAGAGAUUCUUCUGUUAAUGGGGUUUAGUUGUUGAAAAUGGGAUGCAAUCUUGAGAAUAAUUUUAUCCCAAACUGGAAUAUGUAAUUUUUGUGCCAUUAAGAAAAUUAUCUUAGAACAAGAACCCGAAAGAGAGGGAAGCUGAACUG